rnacentral:lncRNA from 1 species
UGAUAUUCGUCAUUUAUGUCCAUCCUAUUUUUUUGUCCAUCCUUUCUUAAACAUCUUGAAAUAAAUGAUGCUAAUUAAUAAUAAACUUUUGGCUCGAAAAAAAAAUCAAAUUUGUCUAAUUAUCGUUUAAAUAUUUUAUUAAUAUUGUAUAAGAAGCUUUCAAUUGAUAUCAUAGUUUAAUUUUUAUUAGUUUUUUUUGUUAAUUUUAGAGUUUUUUGUAUUUAAGAUUUUUUUCUAUAUUAAGCUUAUAUUUCUU